rnacentral:lncRNA from 1 species
CCAGCUCCUGUAAACACGCAGCGUUUUAAUGCGAGCCGGUCAGCAUGAUGCAUUCACACCUAUGCUCGCAGAUAAGCUAGUUAAUGCUAUCACUUAAAUGCAGACCCACUCAUGUGUGGUAUUGCUGUAAACCGUUUAUUCAAACCAGCCAGACACUCGUAAACAAACACGCACACUUGCUGUAAGUGUCCACCUGUGUCUUUGUGCUGCUGGAGGAGGGAGGGUGCGCGCAUCUUUCAAUAUCAAUGAGGUGUCCAUGUCUGCUCCAUUAGCUCCACAGUGAAUAAGGAAGAGUGCAUCAGCUCUGAAGCCUGCGCCUCUCUUGUCGCUGUAUAGCUGUAAAACGCCCUGAGUUCGAUGUAGAGCUGUGUUUUUUCAGCCUGGAUGCACAUUUGGCUCGGCGGCUCUGUGAAAAGAAAACGCUCGAGUCCAUGUUGACUUCCCUCACAUCCCACAAGUCAUCAAUUUUGCAGCGAGCGCAGAAACACAAUAUUUUUUUCACUCUGAUUUCAUAGCCAUUUUGCUCUGGACUUGAACCCAAAGCCCUAAAAUCUCCUCUUUGAUGUGCCCCCACUGUUGUGCCCAUUGUACAUUUUUACAUUCAUAUUCCAGGCAUUAAGCUUAAGCUGUCCUACAAAGCGACUUAGAGCGUGUGAGCGCCAAUUUAAAUCACCAAAAGUGUUUUUAAAAGACCUCCAUUUUUUUUUGAAGGGGCUGAUCUCUGAUCAAAACGUUUCUGCUGUAAAUAUUCAUCUUAAAUUGGCGGAAAUUAUCAUAUGAUACAUCUCCUCCCAAGGCUCUCGGGUGAGUUCAAAGACUCCCAGAUAACAUUUUGAACUCCCUGAACUCAUUUGAAUCACAAAAAUGGAAGUAGGUGAACCCCGGGUCGCAAAUUAUCAUCUGGCAAAAGUGUGUGUAAAAAAGAUCAUGUUUUAAACUUGGAGAGUUCGCAGUGAGAGAAAAGUUCAAGAGCUGAAACACCAAUAUUCCUCUUUUAUGACCUUCAUUUUUCUCUCUUAGUGGCACACUCUGCUUGUUUGGAGUUUAGCCCCUGGUCACAGGUAAUAAAAUACUUUCAUACAGUAAAUCCAGGGUGUUGUUCGGCUCUGAACAUGAGCUGUCAUACAUCCAGUGUCACUCUUUUAUGGCGCUGGUGUGUUUUAAUUCAAGGACACUCAGUUUUAGAUCGCUCUUCUGUUUGUGAAUUGUAUGAAACGCUCGGGUCAGACCAUGCCAGUAGCUCUGCGAGGCUGUUCUUUGAACUCAGAGUCAAUGCCAUGUUGUGUUGACAUUAGCAUGACAAUGAUAAUGAAAGAAGACAAAGCUAAUACAAAGAGAUUAGCGGGUUUAUUGUUUACAUCUGCAUAAUUAUCAUGUUAACAUUUGCUAAUUAACAGAUUAUUUAGAUCUGAAGGUAUUUACAUACAGAGACAUUUAGAGAAAUAAAGACUUGGGUUAUACGAGGUGAUAAAGUAAAAAGAGAUCAUCUAAAGCACUUUAUGAUAACUACAUUUGCUCCCUGGGUGUAGUGAGAUGCACUCUGAUACCAUGUCUUGCACCAGUUGGGGUAUCCUGUUAUGAUGUGGUAUUUUACCCAGAAGGCAACACUUCAAAAGCAAGCGGCAACACGGCAACAUAAAGCAUGUUGAACACAGCCAAUCAAGGACCGGUUUAGGAUCACUUUCUUCUUUAUUAGGUCAUAAUCAUGCAUUUAUAAAAAACUGUAUCAACCCUUUGGAGUGCUGGGGUGAAUAUUUUUUGUAGGAUGGUAAGGGAAGAUCCCGCCUUCCUUCGCCCCUGAUUGGCUAGAAGUGCUGGGCUCUGAUUGGUUAUUCCUAAUGGCUGUGGAACAUCAUCCUCUGUCCGGUUAGGGUUAGGGUUAGGGUUCGGGUUCGGGUAAGGGUCAGGGUUAGGAUUAGGAGAGACAACAGCCUAUGUUUGGCUUGAGCAUGUGAUGACGUUUCCAGCUUUUCUAGCCAAUCAGAGGCAAAGGAGGCGGGACUUUCCCCUACUGUCCUACAAAAAAAAAAAAAAUUCUGUGUCGGGGUAGGUACCAGAUGUGUUCAGGCUGCCAGAUUGCCAGCGCCUGUUGAAAACAUUACACUACGACAUGUCCACUCCAACAAACUACAUGACACUCCAUUUAAUAAGACAAAUGUGCAAAUGUGCUUCAAUCAACCCCGAAAUUUUUCUCCAAAUAAUACAAAGAAUUACAACUGACUGUACUGUAAUUUUCAGAUGCCUUAAAUUGUAUAUGUUAACUUUUCUAAAGGAAAAGGAAAAAAAUGUAUGCAGGAUCUCUUUUUUACAAUAGAUAGUUUUGCUUUUUUUUACACAAUUCCUUUGGCAGCCUAAAAGAAACAGUAGUCAGUCUGCUGUAAAUCCCCUUUGAUAAAUUGCGAUAGAUUACUUAGUAAAACCUAAUCCAGCGAAAACUGCUUCUUCGAUGUCCAAACCAACCGCAAUCUUCUACGUCAUCCUAACCAACUUCCAGCCAAUUAUAUACCAUGACGUCAUCAAUGGGGGCCUGGCCCAAAGCUUAUCUGGCAGCCCAAACACAUCUGGUACCUACACCGGUUUGGUUGAAAGACUCUACAACGUUAAAUCUCUGUGAAUUGGUUCAAGGCAUCAGGUCUUUAUGCACCUCAUGACUAUCAGUAGGCUGAGCUCAACUAUGAAGGUGCCUGACAUGGUGGCAAAACCAGAUGGUACUAGAAAGAUGGAUGCAAAAGUUAUAUGCAUUAAAACGUCAGGUUUUUGUCUAUCAGCUCUGUCCUUUGUUUGCUUCAGAUAUACAGUUUAUCCCAAAAUAAUACACAUAAUCAGUUUUUCCUGCAGAUUCAUGUCAUAAAAGUGUUUUUAGUUGGUUGAAAAAAGGUCUCUGGGCGUCUAUACUUCCCUCCCAAAGGUCUAAGCAAUCCCAGUUCGUGCUCACUGGCCUGUCGUUGUGUAUUUGUGAGAACAAACCUUGUCAUUUUUUCACUUUCAUGUGUUUUAUUCUUGUAAACAUACAUACUGUACAUGUUCAAUAAUUUAAGCUCCUGUGCCGCUCCAGCUUUCCCUUUUAUGAAAUUUAAACUGAACAAAAUGUGACGUAAAAAAAACUCCCGGAGCAGCUUUCGUCCGUCACCCACGAGGCGUGAAAUCGUUUGAUCCUGUUCGUUGUGUUUCGCUUUAUUCUGUGUGAGAGAGUUUGUGCUGUUUCUGUGUGUGUUUUUAAAAUGCUCCCGGAGCGGUAAAAGGUGGAGAGAAAAGGGAGGGGUUUGCAGGAAGGAAGGAAGGAAGGAAGGAAGAGAGCUGCUGUGUUUGUUUUGUAUGAGGCGAGAGGGGAGGAUGGGUGCUGUCCUUUAGUCCAUCCGUCGGCACUUGUUUGUGUGUGUGUGAAUGUAUAGAGGAAGUUACGGGUUAAUGGACAUUAAGUCUGUCCUAGGGUGAUAGCCAGAGUGGAGGGCGGAGGGUGAUACACCCACAGCAAGGUCAGAGGUCAGGGUUAAAAGCCAAGCGAUGCCUGCAAGGACUAGCAAUCAUCUGGGAUUGCACCGUGGGUCAGUGUGUGCGUGUGGAGCUGUGGUACAUGACGGAGGGUUUGAAAAGGAUGUCAGGAAAGGAGAGGUGGAGAAAAUGUAGGGCAGGAAGAGGACAACGGAAAACACAGACACGCAGCGCUGAAGAAAAGAGGACAGGCAGGGGGUUCAAAACGUUCCUUUCCUCUUCUCCUUUUUUUUUUUUUUCUCCGACAUCAGCUCACUUCGAAGAAACGACCCAGCUUGCUUCUCCCUACAGGGACUCAUCUUACAGUAUCAAAAAAUACUCUAACAAGGAAUACACACGAGAGAUCACUCAGACAAGAAUCACACACACACACUCUCACACACGUGCGCAUACAAAUCAACAAGCACAGCCAAGACACACACAGGAGCUAAUCAGAACAUGUGGCCUAUUUCUCUCUAUGUUUUAAUGAGCUCUCCAUUGUGGAGUGCUGACUGAUAUUAUUAGGCUGCCGUGUCUCAGCUCAUUAGCUAAACCAGGCUCAACAACAACACCAGCAGCUAAAAGAUGAUUUGAUACCGCCUGCAGAGUUAUGCGACGCGGCAGGACCUUAAAGAGGCCACGGUGAGAGACGGAGCCAGAGAGUUAAUUUGGUCACCAGGGGGACGGCGAGGCUCAAUCUCGCUUCUUAUGACACAGCGAGGGGAUCAUAAGAGCGGGGUUUGAUAGAAAGAAGAGAAAAAUACAUCAUAGAGCGACUCCAGCCGUCUCCCCCGGCUUUCAUAAAGUUCUCGGCUGAUGCGGCUUGAAGAUUCAGUGUGCAAUUUCAGCAGUGGAGUGGUGGCAGUGGAGAGAAGACGCCAACGACACCACACAGAGAACAAUAGCGUCGCUGGCAAAUCUGUUCCUAACUGAGUGUUAUUGCUCUGUGGCGAAUGGCUCCAUUUUCAUCCAGGCUUUGUUGGGAUUGUCUCUGCUAAAUGCCACUAAAGCAGCUAAAUGAAUCAAACCGAAAAUGAAAUAAAAGACUCUGCCUUUUGGUGUUUACAUGCCAUUAAAACUAGCAACUCUGCUAGCUUCGCGAUACACGAGCCAGCAUGUUUACACGACUCCAUGGUUGUGUCGGAAACCAUCUGCUCAUUAACUAUUCCCAUAUUCACUGUAAAAGACUGCUGUAUUUGUGUCAGACACAUUGGGUAAUUUUGGGUAGUUUUUUUUAACCUCCUCCAGUGAAAUGCAUGAUGUCUGUUCGUGCUUGACGAGAGACCGAGCGCACAUUAACCUUCCUACACACCCAGGCCAUACUUACUGGGAGUUACUGUAUACUUAAUACCAACCUUGUGGUUAGGAUGCCAUCUACAACAUUUAUAUCUUGGCCUCAUAUGACUUCAUCAGUGACUGCUAAGGUCAACUGCCUCAAGAUAGAAAUUACCAACUAGAUACACCAUCUGAUACACAAACCCACAUAUGGUUAGUUAAAUCCAGCCUGAUCUAGCUAUGACUCAUAAAACUUGCUUUACAUUACUAUCGACAAGCUAACGACAAACUUUUUUGUCAUAAUAUCACUGUUUCCAAAGAUCUUUUUAAUUAUGAAUACAGAAAAAUGGCCUGAAACACCUCAUAUGGGCAAUGAUCUGCUAUUAUAAAAGCUAUUUCUCAAUAGCAGAUGGUUGCUAAGAAAAACAGACUGUUGCUGGUAAUGUGCCUCUAAUUACAGCCUCUUGCGAACCGACUGUAAUCACAUGGUAAAUUUUAUGUUGGUUUGUUCAUGGUGUGGAGAAAAACAGAAAAAAAAAACAGAGCAGAAAUGGAAAACUAAACAGAGAAACCUCAGAAAUUAAAGAUCAUGUGUGAAAUAAGCACUUAACUAAAUGGGAUUUGGUGUGAGCGAUUGCAGCUCAACCAACUGUUGCAAUAAACUCCUUUUUUGGCCUUCGGGAAACAGACAGAAAUUUAUAUUAAUGGAUUUUUAUGAUAUAAAAAAGCAAAUCAAACCAUCAGCAGCAAGACUGGUCAUUUCUACACUUAAAAUUUUGAUGCCCGAUACUUGUGCAGAUGGUAGGUGUCAAUGGAGACCAUAGACUGUAUAUAGAAUGACACCGUCUGCUUCCUUGCUAGGUAAAGCCAUCCCAAGAACAGCACCCUCUAGUGAUGGGUUGCAGUAUAGGUCAUAAAUCCCGCCUUCUCAAGCCAUCCCUAUGAAGCAGUGGACAAACUUUACAAAUUGAUUACACAGAAUAUACAUUUUUCUCCCUCCUGCUUGCGAUGUUGACAUGUAGUUAUUGUAAGACUGGUUUGUGCUCAAGUCCUCUUUUUUUCUGUACAGCUCCAUUUUUAAAAGUUAUUAGGGGGUUCAUGUUUUCUAUGAUUGACACUUGAUACAGCCUAUGGGUGUACAAAGAUUGCAUAGCACACCAGGGGGAUAUGCUCUUCGAGCCGAGCGUCCUCACAGCGACUCUCUGCGACUCCUCUCCUCUCCUCUGAGGGCACUUUGGCUUUAAAUUUGUGUAAUGAUAGAAGGCGAAGCCAAGUUGUCAAUAGUAAAUACAGUCUAUGAUGGAGACUGAAAAAAAAAGCCAAUUUCUUUAAGGUUUUCUAUAUUAAAUAUCCACCAAACUUAUUCAUUUGAUUUUCAAAAGUCAGCAGGAAGAUAUUUUGUUUUCCCAAAAGUUCCCCAGUGGAGCUUUAAGAAGAAAGAGAAGGUGACUGAAUGGAAAAAUGAAGCGAGAGACAGCAAACCGAAAACGGGGGUGAAAUGAGAGCGAGGUGCACACUUGAAAUGUUCAAGCUUUUCCCUCUGCAGAUGCCUUGAAUCUCUCCUCCAACAUCCUCUUCCUGCUCAUCUCCUCCUAUAGUGUUUACACACUGCCUCUCCACUUAAUCCGGCCUUCAGGAUGCCCACUUCACUUCGUUACCCCUCAGCGCAGUGAUAGAGGAGUAGAAGUUGAAGGAGAAACAAAAAAGAAAAAUUGCAAAGCUCUUGCAACAUCGCCAAACAUGUUUUUUUUUUUCUUUCUUCAUAACUCUUCUACUAUUUCUCUCAGCCUCUCAUCCCUCACACCCUCCCUCCAUCUCAAUCUCAAUCUGGGCUCACUCAAGCGUUGGCCGGCAUGGCCUCCAGCAUCGAUCCAAUAAAGCUGGUAUAGUCAGCACUGCGAAGCCUGGAGAGCUCUCAGCAAAAACCCUGCGUUUAAGCACGCUCAUUUAACAGCACGUCGCUAUGAUCUGAUCAGGGCUGGAGGGAGGCGGGGGACCGUGGAGGGUGUUUGAUUUUUUUUCCUUUAUUUUUUCAGGCUCUUCUUAUUUUCCUCUCAAAAGUGUAAUCAAUUACAGUCACAUUGGUUGGACAUGGGCACACAAACACGCGUGCACAAGCACACAUCUCCAAAUCUCAAUUACCUUCCCUGCCAAUCCACCAAACAGAGCAAAUGUUUGUUUGCCAGCUCUGAAAUUUAAUAUUCACGUAUGGGAAUAAAUCAGGAGGAAGGCGUAGGAGACAUGAAAAGUGCUACGUUUACUGAGGAGUUUUCUCUCUUUGUUCUGGGUUAAAGUAAAUACAGUUUGACAUUUUGUGGCUGUUUAAAAGUCAAUGGAUUCCCCUCUCCAAUGAGCAUCAUCAAAAGCACCAUUUCACUCACUGAUGCCGAGCAGCAGGUGCAGGAGGGAAAGCCUACAGAUGGUGUUUGUGCAUAUUUGUGUGCAUGUGUCUUCUAUGAAAUUCAAUUCAAACGGCAAAGUAGAAUAAUUGGUUUGAUUUAGCGUAAUUAAGCUUGGUGAAGUUUUUUGGCGAGUGAAUUAGAGAUGUAGCCGUUUUAACAGUAACCUUAAAAUCUUAUUUAAAUGUCAGUUUGUUCCAAAUUUCUCUCUCUAAAAGCCCAUUUCUUUACAUUUCUACUCUCUGAUUUGUGUCUACCCAUGCAGAUGGAGCUGCUUUUAAGCGCCGGGGUGUUUACUUUAUCCAUCCCGGUGAUGUGUCCUGCCAUUUAAACACAAUAGACAACAAUACAUUGCUUUGUAUGCUCACAGCAUUUCAAAAUGACAUUUAAAUGUAACCGCUCUGUCGCUCCCUGACUACUGUUGCCCAGUUUCUCAAAAAAAAACACUGUGAUAAGAAUUUAUUGGAACUGCUCUCUCCUAAAGAGAAAGGUCCGUGAAUUAAAACUGUGAAAUUAACUUUUUGUCAAUUAGCCCCCCAGACCUCAGCGUGCUCCAAAAAAAAAACGGCUUAUCAGAUUUAAUGCAGUUGUUUGAAACCCUUCGGCAAAAUUUGGCGAGGAUAUUUCCCGACCUUUAAAAAAAUCCAGCUGAUAAAGAUCCCUGUUUUACUGUAUGCAUUUAUUCACAAAGUUCUGUUGUACGGCCGAGUUGAACACCAUGAUGCCUCAGAGGAGUCAGUGUGUGCACUUUAUUUGUACUGAAAAAUUACUCCGAGACUACAAAGACAUGCAAAUCACAAAGAGAGAUCAGGGAUGAGACCCCGAGGAGGUGGCUGCAGGCUCAUCUCUCUGCCGCACUUUAGUCUUGAAACACUCACUGGAGACCCCAGUUGAGGUGUACUCUUUAGUAACAGGGACAGGUUCUGUGUGCCGCUCUUAAAUCUUCCUGCAGAGAAGCAUGCAAACUGAAUUUACUCCUGCAGCACGGCAACGUAAAUCUCAGCAACGGUGUCACAUUUAACACCCAGUAAAAAUUAAACUAUCAAUAUGACUUGAGGCCGUCAGACGAGUCAUUCUUUCAUUCACCAUUCGUCACUAAACCUCCACCGCCGAUCCCAGUUAAUCACAGUUUUUAAAAGAUUGUUUAACAUCCCAUCAUUUUGCAUUUCAGAAACUGUUUUUUGUCGACCUGAGGGAGGCACUAAGACUCGAGUUUUCCACAGUCUUGACUGGCCUGUUGCCAGCUGUCACCCCUUCCUAUAAGCACUACUGGUCGUCUACAGAUCUGAGGCAGUCUUACAGUUAUAUGGAGCAUUCUUACCACCCAAAGUGCUUCCUCACUACUCCUGACAUACACCCUACAUUCAGUUACUGAUGACAGAGGCUGCUAUGGUAGAGGACCAUCAGAUUAAUACACAUCCACCCAUGGCUGACUGUGCCACAGAAAAAAACAAGGUUUAGGGUCUUGUUCAUCUGCACGGAAAUUGUAAAGACUGAGGCAGGGAGAGCAGCAGCAAAGACCUCAGGGUAAGGCUGCAUGAUAUUGGAAAAAACUAACAUUGCAAUGUUUUUCAACCCUGCGAUAUAUAUUGCGAUAUUAAAAAAUAGAGGAAUUUUCACCAGAUGACCUGAGUAGCACUUUAUGUUAUGCUGCACUGCUGAAAUCUUGAGGACAGUUAACCUGCUCUGAUCUUACCUCUUCUGUGAAUGUUAGUAGAAUGGCUUCUUCUGUCUGUCUUAGAGAUAUUUUUAGCUUGUUUUUAUUGCGCUGGGACGUCAUUCUAGCAACAGAUGAACAUAGAGCACGUGUUUUGGUCAACAUCAUCCUUCUUGUAACUGAAAUAAUUCCAGAUAAAUGACGUUGCUUUUCAGUUUACCAACAUGUGUUUUUCCCUUGUUCAUGCGUUGUUGUUGAUGUUGUUACCGGUGUUUGCCAGCCGAAAAUUGCACGCACCUCGGAAACGCACACCACUUAUAGUAGAGUGGUCCACGGAAAUGUUCAAUUUAAAACUCAUACAGUUCUUAUUUGUGGGGCUAAACAGGGAUGAGUAAUGUUCUGAAAGUAAUUCUCAGCGGACACGCGUUUCUCGGCACAACACCGGCAGCGGCAGCGACUCACUCCAUGUGCAGGGGCGUAGUUUCCUCCUCUCUGAUUUUGAUAGAUGAGUUCAUUCGCCUCCUACAUCACAGGCUCUGCAAUGUGACUAUCGCUCACACGUACAUCGCAAUGACAAUGCUCGAGUGGUGUAUCGUGCAGCCCUACCUCAGGGUACAACUGCUGCAGUUUGGCAUGCCAAAAGACAAAAUAGCUAAAUUAUGCAUGUAAAUUAUGCACUUUGAGAUGACUAAAAGUAGGGGAUCAUUUUAUCAUUAUUAUUAUUAUUAUUAUUAUUAUUAUUUUAUCCUUUUAUUUGAUUGUUGAGUUCUUAGCUAAUAAGUCUUAACAAUUCUUAAUUGAGUUAAAACAGAUUGUUCUCUCUUUUAGCAGUGUUAUUUCUGUCUUGGCACAAAAGUUUUUCAGCACAGGUGGCUGCGAGAAAUUCACUUAGGGAAUCAGUCCAACAUUAUUAUUGAGAAUUAUUGUAGAAAAUUCAAUUUAAAAGGUUUUUUCAAUGUGAAACUUUCAACGAGUUAAAAGUAAACUUCUAAUGAGGGAGGAAUAAAUUGAAAAAGCUCUGUUCCUCGCUGACUUUAACGUAAUUCUUCUCAUAAGUGACAUUUUUCAGCUUGAAUUUGAGUGCACUUAAGAAAGAUUUAUGUCACAAAUUGAUGUCAUCGAGUCCACUCAAAACGAAUUAAAGACGAAAAAGGGUUCCUCAGAAGAAUACAAACGCAGACGUGUGUCACUGUGUGGGUGUGAAAUCCUCCUUUGCAGCGGUCCCACCUGCAGCAGCGUAACAAGUCAAUCAUCCGGCGCUGUUAUUAGACCGUAAUGUCACUCUGUAGCCCAACACUUGACAUGUUCAUUAGGUAUAAACCAAUUCAUUUACAACACAGAGCUGUGGGAUUGUCCUUGCUUGACAUUCAUUUCCCAACACAUUGCUGUUUGAUGCGACGCCAGCGCCAAUUAACUUUGAUAACUCAGCCCCGGUUUAAUAUACUGCCGCUGAAUGGGCUUGACAAGAGUGCAGCGAUAAGCUUUUUCGGAGCUUUUUGAGUGGCGAUAGCUGGAUUAUCACGCUGAGUGAGGGAGGGACGGAAACUUC